rnacentral:rRNA from 1 species
GAUGAACGCUGACAGAAUGCUUAACACAUGCAAGUCAUUGGCGAAGCUGCGCUUGCGCAGUCUAGCCAAGGCGGACGGGUGAGUAACGCGUAAGGAACUUGCCCUGCAGACAGGGAUAACAGACGGAAACGACUGAUAACACCUGGUAUUGUCAGGCUGGCGCAUGCCGGCCUGAUGAAAGGAGACGCUGCAGGAGAGCCUUGCGUCCUAUUAGCUAGUUGGUGGGGUAACGGCCCACCAAGGCGAUGAUAGGUAGCCGGCCUGAGAGGGUGAACGGCCACAAGGGGACUGAGAUGCGGCCCUUACUCCUGCGGGAGGCAGCAGUGGGGAAUAUUGGACAAUGGGGGCAACGCUGAUCCAGCGAUUCUGUGUGCACGAAGAAGGUUUUCGGAUUGUAAAGUGCUUUCAGCAGGGAAGAAGAAAGUGACGGUACCGGCAGAAGAAGCGACGGCUAAAUACGU